CUCCCCAGGCGGUCGACUUAACGCGUUAGCUCCGGAAGCCACUCCUCAAGGGAACAACCUCCAAGUCGACAUCGUUUACAGCGUGGACUACCAGGGUAUCUAAUCCUGUUUGCUCCCCACGCUUUCGCACCUGAGCGUCAGUCUUUGUCCAGGGGGCCGCCUUCGCCACCGGUAUUCCUCCAGAUCUCUACGCAUUUCACCGCUACACCUGGAAUUCUACCCCCCUCUACAAGACUCCAGCCUGCCAGUUUCGAAUGCAGUUCCCAGGUUGAGCCCGGGGAUUUCACAUCCGACUUGACAGACCGCCUGCGUGCGCUUUACGCCCAGUAAUUCCGAUUAACGCUUGCACCCCCCGUAUUACCGCGGCUGCUGGCACGGAGUUAGCCGGUGCUUCUUCUGCGGGUAACGUCAAUCGACAAGGUUAUUAACCUUAUCGCCUUCCUCCCCGCUGAAAGUACUUUACAACCCGAAGGCCUUCUUCAUACACGCGGCAUGGCUGCAUCAGGCUUGCGCCCAUUGUGCAAUAUUCCCCACUGCUGCCUCCCGUAGGAGUCUGGACCGUGUCUCAGUUCCAGUGUGGCUGGUCAUCCUCUCAG
rnacentral:rRNA from 1 species